UUCAAUACUGAUGUCAACUGAGAGUGAAUCUUCAGGAUGGAGAUCUAUUACUCAGUCAUGUUCGCUAUAAGCUCAGGAAUAUCUGCCAGUCGCCGCUCCUUUGCUCCCAACCGGCCGCAUCUCGCGGAUCACACAGCGACCAGAUCUGAAGAUAGUUUGGCAUCAAACUUGUUCACCGUCUUUCUGGAAGAUGAUUACUCUCCCUAUUGGAAAGAUCUGAUACACAUGUCUAUGGUGUGAACGAGGCUUCUCUUCAGCUGCUCCUCUCUCUUUUGUGGCCGAACCUGACAAUGGUUUUGUGCAAUAUUGGAAAAAUCCUCCAUUUUUGAAGUCUCCGAUGAUUCUUUCAGAUCUAGCAGUGUGUACUGCUAUUUCUCUCGAAGCCCAUUCAAGAUAGCCAGUAUGUCUGGUCCUUCGAACCUUCUAUGGUGAAAAAAGACUACAGAUUAUGGUGCUAUCCCCCUGUUUGCUCCACAGCCUCUGGUACGGUAAUGCCGAGGAUCAGAGCUGCUUAAGGAUAGUAUUUUCAGAUAGCCUAUCUGACCCAUGGAAGUUGAUAAACUGCUAAGAAAUUAUGAACACAUUAUUUAGCUUGGUGUUGCUACGGGGUUAUGGCCAGAGAUUAAAGUGCUCAUCAACCAACCACUUAUUGCUAUUAUAACCACAAGCUUUGACACUGCAACGAUCCACAUUCUGCAAAUACAAAAGCUUGUCUCAGUCUACCCUUUAAACUUAACCACUUUGGAGAAAUUUAUACAAGCUUCCUCUCGUCAGGGUCGAGAGAGAUCUUUAUGCACAUCCUCUCAGGAGAGAACACUUCCACCAAAAGUUUGUUUGGAAACGGUAGAUGCAGCGAGGUUCAUUUCAAUGAAGUUUGAGGUUAUGGACUUGUAUUCAAAGCCACUGAUAAGUUGGCUCAUCAAAAGUCGUCUGAAGAGAUUAAAGUGAGAUUGUUCUCCUUUCUAGUGUAAUGCUUGGCUUUUUAGGCAUGUCUUUAGAUACAUUAUCAAAUUUUGUUGGGUUUUUGUCUCUAUCCCUUUAUCUUUUUAUUUGUGUUGUUGAAGUUUUAAACUUGGCUAUUCGGGUUUGUCCAAAAGAUCUUAUUUGCUA